UACAGAGGUCCCAAGCGUUGUUCGGAUUCACUGGGCGUAAAGGGUGCGCAGGUGGGUUUGCAAGUUUGAUGUGAAAGCCCCGGGCUUAACCCGGGAAUGGCAUUGAAUACUGCAGAUCUGGAGGAUUGGAGGGGGGACUGGAAUUCUUGGUGUAGCAGUGAAAUGCGUAGAUAUCAAGAGGAACACCAGUGGCGAAGGCGCUACUCUGGACUAAUACUGACACUGAGGAGCGAAGGCGUGGGGAGCAAACAGG
rnacentral:rRNA from 1 species